rnacentral:rRNA from 1 species
UUCUCGGUCAUUAAUGCGGUGUGGUCCCACCUCUUCCCAUUCCGAACAGAGCCGUGAAACGCGCCAGCGCCGAUAAUAGCCAUCCUUCUCAGGGUUGUGAAGGUAGGUCAUGGCCGGGG